UACGGAGGGCGCAAGCGUUGUUCGGAAUCACUGGGCGUAAAGCGCGUGUAGGCGGCUUGGCAAGUCGGGUGUGAAAUCCCGAGGCUCAACCUCGGAACUGCACUCGAAACUGCCUCGCUCGAGUCCCGGAGAGGGUGGCGGAAUUCCCGGUGUAGGGGUGAAAUCCGUAGAUAUCGGGAGGAACACCAGUGGCGAAGGCGGCCACCUGGACGGUGACUGACGCUGAGACGCGAAAGCGUGGGGAGCAAACAGG
rnacentral:rRNA from 1 species